rnacentral:rRNA from 1 species
UACGAAGGGGGCUAGCGUUGCUCGGAAUCACUGGGCGUAAAGGGUGCGUAGGCGGGUCUUUAAGUCAGGGGUGAAAUCCCUGGAGCUCAACUCCAGAACUGCCCUUUGAUACUGAGGAUCUUGAGUUCGGGAGAGGUGAGUGGAACUGCGAGUGUAGAGGUGAAAUUCGUAGAUAUUCGCAAGAACACCAGUGGCGAAGGCGGCUCACUGGCCCGGUACUGACGCUGAGGUGCGAAAGCGUGGGGAGCAAACAG